AGUGAACGCUGGCGGUAGGCCUAACACAUGCAAGUCGAACGGCAGCACAGUAAGAGCUUGCUCUUACGGGUGGCGAGUGGCGGACGGGUGAGGAAUACAUCGGAAUCUACUUUUUCGUGGGGGAUAACGUAGGGAAACUUACGCUAAUACCGCAUACGACCUACGGGUGAAAGCAGGGGAUCUUCGGACCUUGCGCGAUUGAAUGAGCCGAUGUCGGAUUAGCUAGUUGGCGGGGUAAAGGCCCACCAAGGCGACGAUCCGUAGCUGGUCUGGGAGGAUGAUCAGCCACACUGGAACUGAGACACGGUCCAGACUCCUACGGGAGGCAGCAGUGGGGAAUAUUGGACAAUGGGCGCAAGCCUGAUCCAGCCAUACCGCGUGGGUGAAGAAGGCCUUCGGGUUGUAAAGCCCUUUUGUUGGAAAGAAAAGCAGCAGGUUAAUACCCCGCUGUUCUGACGGUACCCAAAGAAUAAGCACCGGCUAACUUCGUG
rnacentral:rRNA from 1 species